CGGGGCGUAGCGCAGCCCGGCUAGCGCGUGUGGUUUGGGACCACAAGGUCGGAGGUUCAAAUCCUCUCGCCCCGACCA
rnacentral:tRNA from 1 species